UGUUUGGUGAAUUUUGGGGGUCGGAUUGGUGUUUUAUCUACAUUUGCUUUGUUUUGGUAGUGUAAACAAUUUCUUGCUGGUCUACUUGAGCGCGGCAGACUUACACAGCAACAAUUAAUGGACAGAGCCAAUCAGAAAUCCAAAUCAAAUAGCAGUCAAGUUCAGAAUGCUGCUCAAGAUAACUUUGUUAGACUUGUGACUGCUCGUUUUGUUGAACGUUGCCCGGCCCUUGAACCACUUCUUGAAGAAGCACCUGAACAAGAAGGUCCAAAGAAGCCAUGCUCUAAAUCUGCUAAGGAAUUAUGACCACAAUAUUAUUGCCACUUCUUCAUAUAAACAGAGGGCAUGCCAAUAUUAUUACCAAAAUGGCGGAGGUAUUCGGCGGUGGCGGGGAGGCGUUGCGGUUGAGAAUUGGAGCUGAGCGCGCCAUUGUUUACAUCGACAGAGCCUCUGUAGGGAUUUGAAGGAGAUAGGACUUGACCUUGGUUGCGAUUUUUCAUCUCCGCUGUGCAGGUCAGUCCAGACCUCUAUGGUGACAGCAACACGAUGUCAAUAUACUUGUCUGGAAGGUAAAAUCAUAUUAGUUGCUACUUCCAGUUAGGUUUUUAUUUGGACUGCAACUUGGUGAGGCACAAGAAGUUGUUAUGGGUUAUUUAGUACUAUGGACUGAACCCUUGCUUUUAGGACAACUUGGUGAGGCACAAGGAAGUUAUUAUGGGUUUAGUUCAGUUCAUAGGGCUGUGAGUCUUGUGAAUUUCUGUAGUAAUUACUUUCUGGAGCUCUCUUGCCUUCAUCUUUUACAGUUAGGUGAGUCUUGAUCACUCUAGUUUUGUCUAGUUAUUAGUGGACUCCCCAAGUUAUUUCCAAAUGACACUAUAAGCUUACUUGCAUAACCGAUAUUUUUAAAGUAGUUUUACAAUAAACUGAA